rnacentral:ncRNA from 1 species
UUGUGAGGGGUGCCUGCCUGUGAGGGCUGUGCUGAGAUGAUACCCAUAUAACCUGAUGCAGGUAAUGCUGCCGUAGGGAUUGUAUUAGAU